UUAUAUUUAUUUUUGUGAUUCCCUGAAUAACAGCCGUCUUCCCCAGUGGCCAUAAGCUUGGUGGAAUCAGAGAACAAACCACUGGAUUCCAUGCUGGCUCCCCUGGUGUCAGCACAGAAUCUGGCACACACUAGGUGCUACAUGUAUUUGCAGACUGAAUCAACGGCUGCAGGACCAGGCUCCACCCUCCAACACUAAACUUCUCAAAUGCCAGCUUCAACCAAGAUGAGCUAGACCCCUCUCCAUUCAUUCCCACAAGCUAUCUGGAAAGCCUGCUCCAUCUCUCAGCCUGGGGAGCCGCACGGGCUCCUACCUGGGCCUGCUGAGAUCGGGAGAGCACA